rnacentral:rRNA from 1 species
UACGUAGGGGGCAAGCGUUGUCCGGAAUCAUUGGGCGUAAAGCGCGUGUAGGCGGGUCGGUAAGUCCGCUCUGAAAGCCCGGGGCUCAACCCCGGGAGGCGGGUGGAUACUGUCGACCUCGAGUCCGGAAGAGGCGAGUGGAAUUCCUGGUGUAGCGGUGAAAUGCGCAGAUAUCAGGAGGAACACCAAUGGCGAAGGCAGCUCGCUGGGACGGUACUGACGCUGAGACGCGAAAGCGUGGGGAGCAAACAGG